rnacentral:lncRNA from 1 species
CCCUUUUUUAGUGUUGGUAGAGUACAUAGUUUUACAUCACAAAUUCUUGUUUCUUCAAAACAACAACAACAUGAAGAUUCAAAGACAGUCCAUGUGAGCUCAUGUGAUGAUUUAUUUGCUUAUGGUGCAUAGCUACCACAUAUCCAUUUAACUAUCAAUCUGAAUUUCAAAGAGAUGAGACAUUUCUUUUCCACCUAUAUAUAUACAACACAUUUCUCAUCUUCAACCAUCAACAACAAGCCUUCUUCAGCUCUCUUCUUGAUUUUGAUUUCUUUCACAGCUACUUGACUUGAAAGAAAAUAAAAAAAACUUGUCCUUUCCCUUAUUCGAUUAGUUCGACAAUGGCCAUCCGCCAGAUGCUGAGACGGUCUUUAUCCAGCGAGAGAAGGUCAGCCGAAGUUCCCAAGGGGCAUCUUGCUGUUUAUGUUGGUGAUAAUGAAAAGAAACGGUUUGUGAUUCCAGUGGCGUACUUGAACCACCCCUCGUUUCAAGAGUUGUUGUUUCAAGCUGAGGAAGAAUUCGGGUUCAAUCACCCUAUGGGCGGCCUCACCAUCCCUUGCAGUCAAGAAUUAUUUGUAGAUUUAAUCUCUGCUUUCAGCUCAAGAUGAUUUGUAACAAUGGUUUUAGGAGUAGAAUUUUGCAGAUAUAAUAGUAGAUGAAUAUACAUGAAAGUUUAUGGAGCAAACUUUUGUCACCUUAAUGUGUUGAUUGAUUUAUCCAAGAAUGAGCUUUUCUUAUUUGAAACAAACACACAAUUCAGGUAAAUAUAUUUGGCUGAUGAAUCCAUUGAAGAAAAGUCUGGUUGCACGAGAUUUUCUAGCAUUAAAAUUGUUGAUCUGGCUAUAUAUGAUUGGAUAUAUAUAUGUUUUAAGAUUAUCUUUUUCUGUAUACGAGUUACCAUCAUAUAGGGAAGAGAUCAAUAGAGAAUGUUAAAUGUAGAGAAAAAUGGAGAAUGAAAUGUUGUUCCGAAUAAAUUAAUAUUUUUUCCAAAUAAAUCAAGAAACCGCAUGAACAGACAUUUACGCAUAAAACACGCCACCUCCAAGUUUUGAAUCCGGUGGAAAUGCAUGUUCAGUAAAAUUGUUACCGAAAAGGUAACCAAAAAAUCUUGCAGCCAUGGCCAGAAAUUAUUUCAUUAUAGGUAAGGUAAGGUAAGGUAAACUAACCUCGAUAAAAUAAGAUAGUAACAAUGUUGAUAGACAUAUGAGAUUUGCUGAUAUUUUCAACUACUAAAAC